CCAAUAUUUAAGAAAGAUUUUUUUCAUAAAGUGCAGAAUUACAAUAAGAUGCAAUUUCUUGUAAAUCUACUAUACAGUGUGAAAAAAAACCAAAAUAAAAAAUCAUUAUUCGAGUUAUUGUAGACAAUUAUAAAAAAAUAUCUCAAAAAACAUGGAGUUUGAUUUAAAAUUGACAUGCUUCGAGGUAGCAAUCCCCUUUGAAUGAUAGGUCCAGCCCAAAGAUUUUCUUUAAGUAUAACUUUGUAAGGGGAUGUACCUGGUUUCGGUAUCAUAAUAACCUCUGCUACCCUUCAUAUCAAUGGUUGCCUCGGAACUUCACCAGUAAUGAGAUCAAAUCCCGAAGCUUCUGAGGAUUUGUUUUCUUUAAUCUCUGUUAUAACUUCUUUAGAAGAUGUUAACUCAAUAUUUGCUUCUUGUCAGCUGUUCCUUGGUCAAUAUUAUCGUUACCUUCAUGAAAAGUAUCCUGCAGGUGUGGCGAAUCUAUCAGCAUUUUCGUGGGAAUUAAUCAGAUCUGUAGGACGGAACUGAAUUACCACAAGUUUGAUAAGAAUCAUGUUAUUUGAUGAGGUGUACAUUACUAUAUAUUUUCAAAUACAAAAAAGUUCAA